AUUGCCUCUUGAACACCUCCAUCUGGGUAAACCCAGGCAUCCAGGACUUUCCAUCAAGGCAGCGCUCUCAGUCCAGAUUGGGUUGACUUCAUAAAUGUCACUACUUCAUCCUCCUGCCCUUGGUUGGCCCAAAUUUGUCUCCGUGUGGGGCUGGCCUGAAAGACGCUUCCCAGAAUUCCUUGCUAGCUACUUGUGAUCUUCACCAGAAACUAUAACUCCCAGAGGUCUAUGCGCGCUCCCAGGGGCGGGGUUCUUGGCCGCGACUCCUGAGAAGUGAUGGCAGAAGCCACUGGGUCUCAGCGCCGCUCGCUGUACAAACAGGUGGGCUCGGCGUCAUGGAAAGAGGCUUUCAGGCAGGGAUGCCUGGAGAGAAUGAGAAAGAGCCGUGACAGGCUCCUGAACAAGUACCGCCAGAUUGGAAGCAAUAUGCCAGGGAGAGGUCAGAAUGCCUUUCUAGUGCAAGAGGUGAUGGAAGAAGAGUGGAAGUCUUUGCAGUCAAGAGAGUGCUAUCCAGAGGCUUUGACUCAGUUGAGCUUGCCAAUGGACUUGGCUGUGCUAAAGGAAAUCCAACAGGAGCUGAUUGAUCAAGAACAGUGCAUCAUCAGGGAAUAUGAGAAGAGCUUGCAGUUUGAUGAACAGUAUCUCAGCAUCAUGCUGGCUGAGUGGGAAGCGAAGCCUAUCAUCUGUCCUGUUUGUACAAAGUACAACCUGAGAAUAACAAGUGGUGUGGUUGUGUGUCAAUGUGGCCUGCACAUCCCAUCUCACUCUCCAGAAUUGUCAGAACAGAAGCUUCGUGCCUGUUUAGAAGAUAGUGUAAAUGACCACAGUACACACUGUCCCCAUACCCCUGAGUUUUCAGUCACUGAUGGAACAGAAGAAAAGCCCAGUCUUCUCAUGAGCUGUCUGGUUUGUGAUACAUGGGCUGUGAUCCUUUAGAGCCAAGCUGGACUCAUGUCAUUCUUCUGCUUUGAAAACAACUCACUCCCUGCUGAAUGAAGAAAUAGAAAAGACAACCUUCCUUGGAGGAGAUAAAAGAAUUUUAUUAUCCAUCAUUAUGUUAUACAAAAAUCUAGAAAUAAUAGAUUUGUACAGGAAACCUUCCAAAUGAAUAGUAAAUGAGAGCAUAAUAGCAAUAAUUUAAAUUUGCUUAUUUUUUCCCCAUGAUGUUAGGAUUAUAACCAUUUCAAAGCACACA